rnacentral:rRNA from 1 species
UACAGAGGGUGCGAGCGUUAAUCGGAAUUACUAGGCGUAAAGCGCGCGUAGGCGGCUUUGCAAGUCGGGUGUGAAAUCCCCAGGCUUAACCUGGGAACUGCAUUCGAGACUGCAUUGCUAGAGUAUGGGAGAGGGAAGUGGAAUUUCCGGUGUAGCGGUGAAAUGCGUAGAUAUCGGAAGGAACAUCAGUGGCGAAAGCGACUUCCUGGACCAAUACUGACGCUCAUGUGCGAAAGCGUGGGGAGCAAACAGG